rnacentral:rRNA from 1 species
CCUACGGGAGGCAGCAGUGAGGAAUAUUGGACAAUGGGGGAAACCCUGAUCCAGCGACGCCGCGUGAGUGAAGAAGUAUUUCGGUACGUAAAGCUCUAUCAGCAGGAAAGAAAAUGACGGUACCUGACUAAGAAGCCCCGGCUAACUACGUGCCAGCAGCCGCGGUAAUACGUAGGGGGCAAGCGUUAUCCGGAUUUACUGGGUGGAAAGGGAGCGUAGACGGCAGCGCAAGUCUGGAGUGAAAUGCCGGGGCCCAACCCCGGAACUGCUCUGGAAACUGUGAAGCUGGAGUGCAGGAGAGGUAAGCGGAAUUCCUGGUGUAGCGGUGAAAUGCGUAGAUAUCAGGAGGAACACCGGCGGCGAAGGCGGCUUACUGGACUGUAACUGACGUUGAGGCUCGAAGGCGUGGGGAGCAAACAGGAUUAGAUACCCGUGUAGUC